AUUGAACGCUGGCGGCAGGCCUAACACAUGCAAGUCGAGCGGAUGAAGGGAGCUUGCUUCUGGAUUCAGCGGCGGACGGGUGAGUAAUGCCUAGGAAUCUGCCUUGUAGUGGGGGAUAACGUCCGGAAACGGGCGCUAAUACCGCAUACGUCCUGAGGUAGAAAGUGGGGGAUCUUCGGACCUCACGCUAUCAGAUGAGCCUAGGUCGGAUUGGUUAGUUGGUGGGGUAAAGGCCUACCAAGGCGAGGACCCGUAACUGGCCGGCGAGGAUGAUCAGUCACACUGGAACUGAGACACGGUCCAGACUCCUACGGGAGGCAGCAGUGGGGAAUAUUGGACAAUGGGCGAAAGCCUGAUCCAGCCAUGCCGCGUGUGUGAAGAAGGUCUUCGGAUUGUAAAGCACUUUAAGUUGGGAGGAAGGGCAGUAAGUUAAUACCUUGCUGUUCUGACGGUACCAACAGAAUAAGCACCGGCUAACUUCGUG
rnacentral:rRNA from 1 species